rnacentral:rRNA from 1 species
UACGAAGGGGGGCUAGCGUUGCUCGGAAUCACUGGGCGUAAAGGGUGCGUAGGCGGGUCUUUAAGUCAGGGGUGAAAUCCUGGGAGCUCAACUCCAGAACUGCCUUUGAUACUGAAGAUCUUGAGUUCGGGAGAGGUGAGUGGAACUGCGAGUGUAGAGGUGAAAUUCGUAGAUAUUCGCAAGAACACCAGUGGCGAAGGCGGCUCACUGGCCCGAGUACUGACGCUGAGGCACGAAAGCGUGGGGAGCAAACAGGG